rnacentral:sRNA from 1 species
UAACAGACAAACCUGGUUUCUACUUACUA